CACAUUCGUGGUGUGCCGAAUGCCCGUCUCUCGUGGCGACGACGGCGGCGGCGUAACGCGUUAAUGAAAAUGGCAACGCGCUGCGACGCCAUGCAGCAAUACCUCGACGGAGUGCGGCCGCAAAUUGCGCUGCUUUAUCAAUCUGAAAUAACACGGGCACGGAACAAUGAGGGAUAAUGUGCGCGGCAGCAGCACUUGGCCGACCAACGGAAGGAUCGCGUUGCGGUAUGGUUGACAUACGGAUCACUGGAUUCGGAGUGCCCGAUUAGAUGAAAACGUCUUCGAGAGUCGACGACACUGAUCUCUCGACCAGCGGUAUUGCAACAAACAGAGAAAAGCAAGAGCAUUCAUUCACAAAGCAGAUACAAUAGCAUACGUGACAAUCUAGAUGGCACAGGAGAGAAUUUCAAGAUCGCUCAACAAGAAGAAAUAGUACUUUUGGGGGAAAAAAUCUUGUGCAUACUUAUUUUAAAGCUGCUGUGAAAUAAACUGUAUUAAUAAAAUUAUUAAUAAAAAAAUAUUGUGAACGAGAG